GAAUGGGAAAAUAAUGCAGAGUGCUUCCUGAGUGCACACAGUUCAGUGGGAAAUGCUGAAUGCUGGCUACUGGCAGACAUGAUCACGGGGGGUGGGGGGAGAAAAUGGUGACCGGCAGGAGGAGAGGUGGUCUUCAGUACACUUUGGCUGACUUCAAACAUGUGCCUUUUGGUGUGUUUUGUCAUUGCUACAAAAUGAAAAGGAAACAGAACAACUCAAGUCUUUAGAAAGACUUUUUAUUAAUCCCUGUGCAUACUUUAGAGACAAGGGAAAUCAGUGACUUGAAGCUGUUCUGAGCACACACUCCCGACUAGCCCUAGCCAGUUGACGCUGAAGCACUCCCUGUCUGUAGCACAGGGACAGGCCAUGGCGUGAGGACCAGCCCCCCUGCAGUCCCUGCUGGUGUCUCCCUGGGGAGGUUUCGGUGCACUGUGCACAUUAAGUACAAAUCAGAUGAAUGUAAAUAUCUCUUUGUAAAUCAUUUAUUUCACUCUGUUUCAUCCAGGUCAGCAAUCAGAUUGUGGCAUGCUGGGUAACUGGAAAAAAAUGAUAAUAAAAAGUAAGUUUAAAUAG
rnacentral:lncRNA from 1 species